CCAACCUGCAAGCAGAUAGAAAAUAAGCUAAUCCUAUAGGACAGAAAAAGGAAAAGGGGAGGAGUCAUAAGUGGAUAUAAGCAUAAGACACCUAAGCCAGAAAUGGCAACCCUUCCAGUUCCCCUUCCACUGUGUGGAAGCUUUACUUUCACUUUUGCUUUACUUUGGCUUUAAUAAAUCUUGACCCAGCACUCUCUUUAGGUCUGCAUGCUUCUCAAAUUGAGCUGUAACACUCACUGCUGCGGUCCAAGCCUUCAUUCUUUGAAGCCCGUGGAACCACAAACUCUUCAAUUGAUAAAAACCUUCGAUCGGAAGAGACUUCUCAUCUCAUUUCUGGGGGCCUGUCCGGGAUUUCUCUGAAGUGAUGGGAGGCGCUCCCUCAAAAGUGAAGCCACCCUUGAGGUAUAUUCUGGAUAAUUGGGACCAAUUCGACCCUCAAACACUGAAGAAGAAGUAACAUAUUUUUCUGCAGCACUGCCUAGCCAUAAUAUCCUCUUCCCGGAGGAGAUCCAUGGCCACCUGAGGGAAGUAUAAACUAUAAUACCAUCCUACAGCUAGAUCUCUUUAGUAAACGAGAGGGCAAAUGGAGUGAAGUGCCAUAUGUACAGGUUUUUUUCUCAUUAAGAGAUAACCCACAAUUAUGUAAAAAAUGUAAUUUACAUCCUACCGGGAGUCCUUAAAGCUUACCCCCAUACCCAGGUCUCCCCACAGCUCCCCCUAGUAAGGACUCUCCUUUGGCCCUAAUGGCCCAAAAGGAACCAGACAAAAAAAUAGUCAAGGAACUGAAAGGUGCCAAUGGUCUCAAUUGUGCCCCCUCCAAGCCGUGGUAGGAGGAGGAGACUUUGGCCCAGCACGAGUACAUGUCCCCUUUCCCCUCUCAGACUUAAAACAGAUCAAACCGGGCCUAGGAAAAUUCUCAGAUAAUCCUGAUGGAUACAUAGAUGUCUUACAGGGAUUAGGACAAUCUUUUGAUUUAGCAUGGAAAGAUAUUACAUUGUUGUUAGGUCAAACAUUAACUCCCAAUGAAAAAGAGGCCGUCUUAACUGCAGCCCGGAAGUUUGGGGAUCUCUGGUACCUAAGCCAGGUAAAUGAUAAAAUAACAUCAGAAGAAAGGGAACAAUUCCCCACAGGCCAACAGGUGGUUCCCAGCGUGGAUCCCCACUGGGACCUCGAUUUGUAGCAUGGAGCCUGGAGUCGCAGGCAUUUACUGACUUGUAUACUAAAGGGAUUAAGAAAGACCAGAAAAAAAUCCAAUAAAUUAGUCAAUGAUAUAAUGCAGGGAAAGGAAGAAAACCCCAUGGCAUUUUUAAAGAGGCUAAGGGAGGCAUUAAGAAAGCAUACCUCUUUGCAUCUGACUCUAUUAAAGGCCAACUAAUUUUAAAGGAUAAGUUUAUCACCUAGUCAGCUGCAGACAUUAGAAAAAAACUUCAAAAGUCUUUCCUGGGCCCUAAGCAAAAUCUGGAAACUCUAUUGAAUUUGGCAACUUCAGUGUUUUAUAAUAGGGAUCAGGAGAAGCAGGCUGAACGAGACAGAUGAGACAAGAAAAAGGCUGCCUCCUUAGUCACAGCCCUCAGGCAAUAGAACUUCGGUGGCUCUGAAAGAAAGAAAGGCUGGGCAGGCAACCCACCUAACAGGGCUUGUUAUCAGUGCAACUUACAGGGGCACUUCAAAAAGGACUGCCCAAACAAACAUAAGCCGCCCCCUCAUCCAUGUCCCUUGUGCCAGGGGGAUCAGUGGAAGGCACACUGCUCCCAAGGGCGAAGGUCCUCUGGGCCAGGGGCCACUAACCAGAUGGUCCAACAACAGGACUGAGGGUGCCUGGGGCAGGCACCAGCCCAUGCCAUCACCCUCACAGAGCCCCAGGUAAGCUUAACCAUUGAGGGACAGGAAACUAACUUUCUCCUGGACACUGGUGCAGCCUUCUCAGUUUUACUCUUCUGUCCCAGACAACAAUCCUCCAGGUCUGUCAAAUCAAAAGGGUCCUAGGACAGCCAGUCACUAGGUAUUUCUCCCACCCCCUAAGUUAUGACUGGGGAAACUUAUUUUUCUCAUGUGCCUUUCUUAUUAUGCCAGAGAGCCCUACUCCUUUACUAGGGAGGGACACAUUAGCUAAAGCAGGGGCCAUUAUAUACUUGAAUAUAGGAGAAGGAAUACCGGUUUUCUGCCCUCUACUAUUGUGAUGCUGCUUAUCUUUGGACCCUGCAUUUUUAACCUCCUUGUAAAAUUUGUCUCUUCCAGAAUAGAAUCCAUGAAACUGCAAGUGGUUCUACAAAUGGAGCCCCAAAUGACCACCACUAGCACCUACUAUCGAGGACCCCUAGACUGACCUACCAACCUGUUCUAACACCACGACACUGAAGAAGACUCCCCUCCUGAGGAACCCUCAACUGCAGAUCCCCUUCUGUGCCCCAGUUCAGCAGGAAGUAGCUAGAAUGAUCAUUGCCCAACUUCUCAACAGCACUUGGGCUUUCCUGUUGAGAGGGGGUACUGAGGCACUAAGUGGCUAAGUUAGCUAGACUUCCUGGGUCAACAGGGACUUCCCUAAGGGGACAUUCCUCUAAGCCAAAAUGAGUCAUAGCUGCAAGCUAAGGGAUUGAAACUUCAACCAAUCAAAGGGGACUUUCUCCUAAGCAAAAAUGAGUCACUGCUGCAAACUAAGUGAUUGAAACUUCACCCAAUCAUAUAGGGAGUUUAAGCUUUAGCUGCAGCCUGAUGUUUUUAACCAAUCAGGCCUGCCAACCCACAAGCAGAUAGAAAAUAAGCUAAUCCUAUGGGACAGAAAAAGGAAAAGGGGAGGAGUCAUAAGAGGAUAUAAGCAUAAGACACCCAAGCCAGAAACGGAAACCCUUCCGGGUCUCCUUCCACCACGUGGAAGCUUUACUUUUGCUUUUACUUUACUUUCACUUUAAUAAACCUUGGCGCUGCACACUCUUUGGGUCUGUACGUUUCUCUAAUUGAGCUGUAACACUCGCCGCUGUGGUCCACGGCUUCAUUCCUUGAAGCCUGUGAGACCACGAACCCUUCAAUUGAGAAAAACCUUCAAUCAGAAGAAGACUUCUUGUCUCAAUAUCACUUCCUUCGAAAACAUAAUUCAAGAGUUAUUCACAUCAUAGUUAUUUUUCACUCCCCGCUAAUAGCAGGAGUCACUUCCAAUAUACUAGAAUUUCAAAAAGGAACUGUAACUUAUAGUUUACAGUCAGUGUUUGUUUGAAAUGUAAAGCCUGACCAUUCAACUGCCAUGAUUGAAGCACUCUGAAAGACUUCCAUGGCCUUAGGAUAAAGUUCAUCCUCCUUUACAAGGAGCACAAGACCCUUAGAAUUCCAGACCCUGAUUUAGUCUUCAUCUUAUACGAAUGCUGCCCGGCAUGCUUCAUUUAGUUCUGCAAUAAACAGAGCAUACAGCAUGGUUGUGGAUCUCACUAGAGACCCAAAGAAAACAUCCCACAGGAAAUGAUGAAAAAUAAUAAGAGCAUUAUAUGUAUUGGAGCGUGGACCAGGCAGUUGAAGUGGAAAACACAGGGGAGGGAGCCGUAAAGACUUAAAAAUGAUGUCCAGUUCCCACCUCCCAGACCUAUUGAAUGUGAAUAUC
rnacentral:lncRNA from 1 species